rfam:Hepatitis C virus genotype 5, genome
AUGACCCCCGGCGGAAAUCCCCCAAUUUGGGUAGGGUCAUCCAUACCCUAACGUGCGGAUUCCCCCACCUCAUGGGGUAC